GACGAACGCUGGCGGCGUGCUUAACACAUGCAAGUCGAACGUAAAGGCCCUGCUUUUGUGGGGUGCUCGAGUGGCGAACGGGUGCGUAACACGUGAGUAACCUGCCCUUGACUUUGGGAUAACUUCAGGAAACUGGGGCUACUAUCGGAUAGGAGCCCCUGCUGCAUGGUGGGGGUUGGAAAGUUUCGGCGGGUGGGGAUGGACUCGCGGCUUAUCAGCUUGUUGGUGGGGUAGUGGCUUACCCAGGCUUUGACGGGUCGCCGGCCUGAGAGGGUGACCGGCCACAUUGGGACUGAGAUACGGACCAGACUCCUACGGGAGGCAGCAGUGGGAAAUAUUGCACAAUGGGCGGAAGCCGGAUGCAGCAACGCCGCGUGCGGGAUGACGGCCUUCGGGUUGUAAACCGCUUUCGCCUGUGACGAAGCGUGAGUGACGGUAAUGAGUAAAGAAGCACCGGCUAACUACGUG
rnacentral:rRNA from 1 species